ACGUAGGGUGCAAGCGUUAAUCGGAAUUACUGGGCGUAAAGCGUGCGCAGGCGGUUCUGUAAGACAGAUGUGAAAUCCCCGGGCUUAACCUGGGAAUUGCAUUUGUGACUGCAGGACUAGAGUUCAUCAGAGGGGGGUGGAAUUCCAAGUGUAGCAGUGAAAUGCGUAGAUAUUUGGAAGAACACCAAUGGCGAAGGCAGCCCCCUGGGAUGCGACUGACGCUCAUGCACGAAAGCGUGGGGAGCAAACAG
rnacentral:rRNA from 1 species